UACGUAGGCAGCAAGCGUUGUUCGGAAUUACUGGGCGUAAAGCGAGUGUAGGUGGUGCUAUAAGUUUGGUGUGAAAUCUCCCGGCUCAACUGGGAGGGUGCGCCGAAGACUGUAGUGCUAGAGUGUGGGAGAGGUAGGCGGAAUUCCUGGUGUAGCGGUGAAAUGCGUAGAUAUCAGAAGGAAGGCCGGUGGCGAAGGCGGCUUCCUGGAACAGACCUGACACUGAGAGACGAAAGCGUGGGGAGCAAACAGG
rnacentral:rRNA from 1 species